CACUGCCGAGAAAAGCCUCUAGAUAGAAAAUAGGUGCCCGUACCGCAAACCGACACAGGUAGUCAAGAUGAGAAUUCUAAGGUGAGCGAGCGAACUCUCGUUAAGGAACUCGGCAAAAUGACCCCGUAACUUCGGGAGAAGGGGUGCUCUUUAGGGUUAACGCCCAGAAGAGCCGCAGUGAAUAGGCCCAAGCGACUGUUUAUCAAAAACACAGGUCUCUGCUAAACCGUAAGGUGAUGUAUAGGGGCUGACGCCUGCCCGGUGCUGGAAGGUUAAGAGGAGUGGUUAGCUUCUGCGAAGCUACGAAUCGAAGCCCCAGUAAACGGCGGCCGUAACUAUAACGGUCCUAAGGUAGCGAAAUUCCUUGUCGGGUAAGUUCCGACCCGCACGAAAGGCGUAACGAUUUGGGCACUGUCUCAACGAGAGACUCGGUGAAAUCAUAGUACCUGUGAAGAUGCAGGUUACCCGCGACAGGACGGAAAGACCCCGUGGAGCUUUACUGUAGCCUGAUAUUGAAAUUCGGCACAGCUUGUACAGGAUAGGUAGGAGCCUUUGAAACGUGAGCGCUAGCUUACGUGGAGGCGCUGGUGGGAUACUACCCUAGCUGUGUUGGCUUUCUAACCCGCACCACUUAUCGUGGUGGGAGACAGUGUCAGGCGGGCAGUUUGACUGGGGCGGUCGCCUCCUAAAAGGUAACGGAGGCGCUCAAAGGUUCCCUCAGAAUGGUUGGAAAUCAUUCAUAGAGUGUAAAGGCAUAAGGGAGCUUGACUGCGAGACCUACAAGUCGAGCAGGGUCGAAAGACGGACUUAGUGAUCCGGUGGUUCCGCAUGGAAGGGCCAUCGCUCAACGGAUAAAAGCUACCCCGGGGAUAACAGGCUUAUCUCCCCCAAGAGUUCACAUCGACGGGGAGGUUUGGCACCUCGAUGUCGGCUCAUCGCAUCCUGGGGCUGUAGUCGGUCCCAAGGGUUGGGCUGUUCGCCCAUUAAAGCGGUACG
rnacentral:rRNA from 1 species